rnacentral:rRNA from 1 species
GGAUGAGGGAAGCUUGCUUCCCGAUUUAGCGGCGGACGGGUGAGUAAUGCCUAGGAAUCUGCCUAUUAGUGGGGGAUAACGUUCCGAAAGGAACGCUAAUACCGCAUACGUCCUACGGGAGAAAGUGGGGGAUCUUCGGACCUCACGCUAAUAGAUGAGCCUAGGUCGGAUUAGCUAGUUGGUGGGGUAACGGCUCACCAAGGCGACGAUCCGUAGCUGGUCUGAGAGGAUGAUCAGCCACACUGGAACUGAGACACGGUCCAGACUCCUACGGGAGGCAGCAGUGGGGAAUAUUGGACAAUGGGCGAAAGCCUGAUCCAGCCAUGCCGCGUGUGUGAAGAAGGUCUUCGGAUUGUAAAGCACUUUAAGUUGGGAGGAAGAGUUGUAAGCUAAUAUCUUGCAGCUUUGACGUUACCAACAGAAUAAGCACCGGCUAACUCUGUGCCAGCAGCCGCGGUAAUACAGAGGGUGCAAGCGUUAAUCGGAAUUACUGGGCGUAAAGCGCGCGUAGGCGGCUUAGUAAGUUGGAUGUGAAAGCCCCGGGCUCAACCUGGGAACUGCAUCCAAAACUGCUUGGCUAGAGUACAGUAGAGGGUGGUGGAAUUU